rnacentral:lncRNA from 1 species
AUGAAGACAUGCACAACUAGAUUAGAACUUUUGUCUAAUUAUUUUUUCUACUAUUUUAAUAAAUUUUAUAACUCUCAAGGAUGAAAAAUAAAAAAUAUCAUUAUAUUUUUAAGUAGAGUUGAGAUUCUUAUUUCUCACAAACACCUUAUGGAUAGCACAAUAAACAUUCAUGAGUUCAAAAGUAGGUAACUCUUUACCAAUUUACUUCAUACAAUUCUCAAUAUUUUUCUCUCUUGCCUCU